rnacentral:rRNA from 1 species
GAGUUUGAUCCUGGCUCAGGACGAACGCUGGCGGCGUGCCUAAUACAUGCAAGUCGAACGCACUCUGGAACUGAUAGAAGAAGCUUGCUUCUGAUUGAAGCUCAUUUGAGUGAGUGGCGGACGGGUGAGUAACACGUGGGUAACCUGCCCUAAAGUGGAGGAUAACAUUUGGAAACAGAUGCUAAUACCGCAUAAAACCUAGCACCGCAUGGUGCAAGGUUGAAAGAUGGUUUCGGCUAUCACUUUAGGAUGGACCCGCGGUGCAUUAGUUAGUUGGUGAGGUAAAGGCCCACCAAGACUGUGAUGCAUAGCCGACCUGAGAGGGUAAUCGGCCACACUGGGACUGAGACACGGCCCAGACUCCUACGGGAGGCAGCAGUAGGGAAUCUUCCACAAUGGACGAAAGUCUGAUGGAGCAACGCCGCGUGAGUGAAGAAGGUUUUCGGAUCGUAAAACUCUGUUGUUGGAGAAGAAUGUAUCUGAUAGUAACUGAUCAGGUAGUGACGGUAUCCAACCAGAAAGCCACGGCUAACUACGUGCCAGCAGCCGCGGUAAUACGUAGGUGGCAAGCGUUGUCCGGAUUUAUUGGGCGUAAAGCGAGCGCAGGCGGUUUUUUAAGUCUGAUGUGAAAGCCUUCGGCUCAACCGAAGAAGUGCAUCGGAACUGGGAAACUUGAGUGCAGAAGAGGACAGUGGAACUCCAUGUGUAGCGGUGAAGUGCGUAGAUAUAUGGAAGAACACCAGUGGCGAAGGCGGCUGUCUGGUCUGUAACUGACGCUGAGGCUCGAAAGCAUGGGUAG